rnacentral:RNase_P_RNA from 1 species
AAAGUAGGAGAAACAGUCACGCUUCGAAUUCAUAUUUGAAGUGAGGAAAGUCCGAACUCCACAGAAUCAGGGCGCCCGGUAACACCGGGGCGGAGUGAUCCGACGGAAAGUGCCGCAGAAACUAUACCGCCCGCCAAAAGCGGGUAAGGGUGAAAACGUAGUGUAAGAGACUACGAUCGUGUCCGGAGACGGAUGCGAUGGGUAAACCCCGCCUGGAGCAAGGCCAAAUAGAGGAAGAGGAGUUGAUUCGCUCCGUUAUCAUUCCUGGGUAGGCCGCUUGAGCAACCAGGGUAACCGGUUGCCCAGACAAAUGACUGUUGGCUUCAUUUUGAAGCUUACAGAAUUCGGCUUAUUUCCUGCUUUCCAA